rnacentral:sRNA from 1 species
GCUGGGUGUGGUGGUGCUCGCCUGUAAUCCCAGCUACUGAGGAGGCUGAGGCAGGAGAAUUGCUUGAACCCAGGAGGCAGAGGUUGCAGUGAGCCAAGAUCAUGCUACUGCACUCUAACCUGGGCAACAGAGCAAGACUCUGUCUCAG